rnacentral:rRNA from 1 species
UACGUAGGGUGCGAGCGUUGUCCGGAAUUAUUGGGCGUAAAGAGCUUGUAGGCGGUCUGUCGCGUCUGCUGUGAAAAUCCGGGGCUCAACCCCGGACUUGCAGUGGGUACGGGCAGACUAGAGUGUGGUAGGGGAGACUGGAAUUCCUGGUGUAGCGGUGAAAUGCGCAGAUAUCAGGAGGAACAUCGAUGGCGAAGGCAGGUCUCUGGGCCACUACUGACGCUGAGAAGCGAAAGCAUGGGGAGCGAACAGG